AUUGAACGCUGGCGGCAGGCCUAACACAUGCAAGUCGAGCGGAUGAAGAGAGCUUGCUCUCUGAUUCAGCGGCGGACGGGCGAGUAAUGCCUAGGAAUCUGCCUGGUAGUGGGGGACAACGUUUCGAAAGGAACGCUAAUACCGCAUACGUCCUACGGGAGAAAGUGGGGGAUCUUCGGACCUCACGCUAUCAGUUGAGCCUAGGUACGAUUAGCUAGUUGGUGAGGUAAAGGCUCACCAAGGCGACGAUCGUUAACUGGUCUGAGAGGAUGAGCAGGCCCACUGGAACUGGGAAACGGUCCAGACUCCUACGGGAGGCAGCAGUGGGGAAUAUUGGACAAUGGGCGAAAGCCUGAUCCAGCCAUGCCGCGUGUGUGAAGAAGGUCUUCGGAUUGUAAAGCACUUUAAGUUGGGAGGAAGGGCAGUAAGUUAAUACCUUGCUGUUUUGACGUUACCGACAGAAUAAGCACCGGCUAACUUCGUGCCAGCAGCCGCCGUAA
rnacentral:rRNA from 1 species